GGCAGCAUGGUCUUAGCUUGCUAAGGCUGAUGGCGACCGGCGCACGGGUGAGUAACACGUAUCCAACCUGCCGUCUACUCUUGGCCAGCCUUCUGAAAGGAAGAUUAAUCCAGGAUGGGAUCAUGAGUUCACAUGUCCGCAUGAUUAAAGGUAUUUUCCGGUAGACGAUGGGGAUGCGUUCCAUUAGAUAGUAGGCGGGGUAACGGCCCACCUAGUCAACGAUGGAUAGGGGUUCUGAGAGGAAGGUCCCCCACAUUGGAACUGAGACACGGUCCAAACUCCUACGGGAGGCAGCAGUGAGGAAUAUUGGUCAAUGGGCGAUGGCCUGAACCAGCCAAGUAGCGUGAAGGAUGACUGCCCUAUGGGUUGUAAACUUCUUUUAUAAAGGAAUAAAGUCGGGUAUGCAUACCCGUUUGCAUGUACUUUAUGAA
rnacentral:rRNA from 1 species